rnacentral:rRNA from 1 species
CCAAUAGCGUAUAUUAAAGUUGUUGCAGUUAAAAAGCUCGUAGUUGAAUUUCGGGAUCAAUUUACUGGUCGUGCUACUGUACGUACUGGUUUUAUUGAUUUCUCCCUUCUGACGAACUGCGAUGUCAUUAAUUUGAUGUCGUGGGGAAUCAGGACUGUUACUUUGAAAAAAUUAGAGUGUUUAAAGCAGGCACAAGCUUGAAUACAUUAGCAUGGAAUAAUGAAAUAGGACGUUUGAUCUUAUUUUGUUGGUUUCUAGGAUCGACGUAAUGAUUAAUAGGGAUAGUUGGGGGCAUUAGUAUUCAAUUGUCAGAGGUGAAAUUCUUGGAUUUAUUGAAGACUAACUACUGCGAAAGCAUUUGCCAAGGAUGUUUUCAUUAAUCAAGAACGAAAGUUAGGGGAUCGAAGACGAUCAGAUACCGUCGUAGUCUUAACCAUAAACUAUGCCGACUAGGGAUCGGAUGAUGUUAAUUUUUUAAUGACUCAUUCGGCGCCUUACG